rfam:Rhizobium sp. PDO1-076 strain PDO-076 ctg68, whole genome shotgun sequence.
AUCCUUCGGCCCUGCAUUAUCCUCCUCCCGAUGCGGGAUCGAAUGACCAGCGACACUCCUCCUCCCAGUCGUUGGUCUGUCAAAAUGACGCUCACCGGAUCCUCCCCCGGUGAGCGUUAUUC